rnacentral:rRNA from 1 species
AGCAUAUCAAUAAGCGGAGGAAAAGAAACCAACAGGGAUUGCCUCAGUAACGGCGAGUGAAGCGGCAACAGCUCAAAUUUGAAAUCUGGCGCCCUCGGCGUCCGAGUUGUAAUUUGCAGAGGAUGCUUCGGCGUAGGCGCCGCCCAAAGUUCCUUGGAACGGGACGUCGCAGAGGGUGAGAGCCCCGUGUUCGGGCGGAUGCCUUCGCCGUGUGAAGCUCCUUCGACGAGUCGAGUUGUUUGGGAAUGCAGCUCAAAACGGGAGGUAAAUUUCUUCCAAAGCUAAAUACCGGCCGGAGACCGAUAGUGCACAAGUAGAGUGAUCGAAAGAUGAAAAGCACUUUGGAAAGAGAGUCAAACAGCGCGUGAAAUUGUUGAAGGGGAAGCGCUUGCGGUCAGAACUUGGCCGCCGUUGCUCGGGGAGGCCUCGCGCCUCCCUCGCUCUUCGGCGGCUGGGCCAGCAUCGGUUCGGGCGGCUCGAGAAAGGUCGCGGGAACGUGGCUCCCCACGGGGAGUGUUAUAGCCCGCGGCGCAAUGGGGCCCGCCUGGACCGAGGUCUGCGCAUCUGCUCGGAUGCUGGCGUAAUGGCCUCAAGCGGCCCGUCUUGAAACACGGACCAAGGAGUCUAGCAUUCGUGCAAGUGUUCGGGUGUCAAACCCGUGCGCGCAAUGAAAGUGAACGUAGGUGGGAGCCCUCACGGGCGCACCAUCGACCGAUCCUAAUGUCUUCGGAUGGAUUUGAGUAUGAGCACGUAUGCUGGGACCCGAAAGAUGGUGAACUAUGCCUAAACAGGGCGAAGCCAGAGGAAACUCUGGUGGAGGCUCGCAGCGGUUCUGACGUGCAAAUCGAUCGUCAAAUUUGGGUAUAGGGCGAAAGACUUAUCGAACUAUCUAGUAGCUGGUUCCUGCCGAG